CCAUAAUUAGAAUAAAUUAUAUGAAAAAAAUCUAUUUUCAGUAGUAAAUAGCAGCUCAAACAUCAGGGUUCUUGGGUAGCUUCCUGCAAAUUUUUUUUGAAGGUUGCCAUUGCAGUCAGUAGCAAAGGAGAAGAGAAAGGGAAUGUUCCCUGUGGUUGGUUGUGUUGUUUUAGGGAGGAAGACCUGGCCUUUCUAGCUUCACUGACUAUGACUGAUUUUUAUGACCAUCUCUUAGCUGCAAGAGAGACUAGGCCAGUAUGGAAUUCAAUGUUUUCCCGAGGACCUUAUAGCCUCUGUUUCAAUCCACUGAACCGAACAGAAAAUGGAGGAGUCAGGUGGAGUUAGUUUUUAAAUACUACUUCCAUGACCAGCCCUGCUUGCUGCAUUAAGAAUCACCUGGGAGCUUGUUAAAUAAAUCAGACUCUUUGGGAAUUGGUAUUUUUAGGUUUGGGACAUGGCCAUCAAUUUUGUUAACAAGGUCCCUAGUGAUUCUGACACAGCUAGCUGCUUCUGGAUACUAUUGGUAGGAAAAUGAUAGCUUUUAGAUUCUGAUAAACCCAAAUUCAUUAUGCCAGCUUUUCACUUAUUAGCUGUAUGAACUUGGGCUGGCAGCUUGACUUUGCAGAACUCUGGUUCCUCAUCUUGGAAAUGAGCAGAAAUAAUAAUGAAAACAACAGAAUAUAGCUACUCUACUGAGUCCUACGAAAUAGAGAUAUUAUAUAUUUGAUACUACUGGUAUGAUGUCUAGAGCUAGUAGUGUGGUUCAAUAAAUGGUUGUUUUGCAUAUUAGCUUCUAAAUAUUUUGCAUUUGGUUUAAUAUAGAAACAUUUUAUUCUGCACAAAAUAAUAAGUAGUGGCAUAGUAUAACUGCUUCUCUUGUGACUUAGUAUCUGUUAUAACCAACAGCUGAUUUCCUAUUGUCCUAGCCAAACAUUUUUGGGCUUCAGAUUAUGAGUUUUUAUUUCCUCAACUAUAUAUUUUUACUGCCUCUGUUCCAUGUAAUCUAUAUAAGUAUGUACCUUAAAACUGGCUAAUAUAAUAAAAUUCUCUAACCCCA